rnacentral:rRNA from 1 species
GAUGAACGCUGGCGGCGUGCCUAAUACAUGCAAGUCGAGCGAACAGACGAGGAGCUUGCUCCUCUGACGUUAGCGGCGGACGGGUGAGUAACACGUGGAUAACCUACCUAUAAGACUGGGAUAACUUCGGGAAACCGGAGCUAAUACCGGAUAAUAUAUUGAACCGCAUGGUUCAAUAGUGAAAGACGGUUUUGCUGUCACUUAUAGAUGGAUCCGCGCCGCAUUAGCUAGUUGGUAAGGUAACGGCUUACCAAGGCGACGAUGCGUAGCCGACCUGAAAGGGUGAUCGGCCACACUGGAACUGAGACACGGUCCAGACUCCUACGGGAGGCAGCAGUAGGGAAUCUUCCGCAAUGGGCGAAAGCCUGACGGAGCAACGCCGCGUGAGUGAUGAAGGUCUUCGGAUCGUAAAACUCUGUUAUUAGGGAAGAACAAAUGUGUAAGUAACUAUGCACGUCUUGACGGUACCUAAUCAGAAAACCACGGCUAACUACGU